AACGAACGCUGGCGGCAUGCCUAACACAUGCAAGUCGAACGAAGCCUUCGGGCUUAGUGGCGCACGGUUGCGUAACGCGUGGGAAUCUGCCCCUUGCUUCGGAAUAACAGUUAGAAAUGACUGCUAAUACCGGAUGAAGUCUUCGGACCAAAGAUUUAUCGGCAAGGGAUGAGCCCGCGUAGGAUUAGGUAGUUGGUGGGGUAAAGGCCUACCAAGCCGACGAUCCUUAGCUGGUCUGAGAGGAUGAUCAGCCACACUGGGACUGAGACACGGCCCAGACUCCUACGGGAGGCAGCAGUGGGGAAUAUUGGACAAUGGACGCAAGUCUGAUCCAGCAAUGCCGCGUGAGUGAUGAAGGCCUUAGGGUUGUAAAGCUCUUUUACCAGGGAUGAUAAUGACAGUACCUGGAGAAUAAGCUCCGGCUAACUCCGUG
rnacentral:rRNA from 1 species